GGUACCGUUACAGUUAUCGAUGCUGUGCGGUGUUGUACAAUGUCGGCGCAAGCUCAGUUUUUGUACAGUGAAAAGUGCGGGUAAAUUGAGUGCGCGAGUUUUAUUUGAAAUGUGCGAAUAAAAGUGAAUUUUGGGUAAUAAAAGUGAGUGUUAUAAAUAUAAAAGCAGCCGAAGCAGCAAACGAAGCACGCAAAUGGAAAUUCAAAAACCUCUCGCUUGGCAAUAUUGUGCAAUCUUAUAGAGGCAGCCAGAGGUUUGCUCUUAAUUAGUUGACGGUUUUUACCCUUCCUCAUUUUUGGCCGUCGUCGCCUUGUCAGAAACAGCGGAUUGCAUUUUUGCAGCCAUUUGCUUAAUUAAUCACCCAAUGGAGCAGCGCAAUAUUUGGCGAGGGUUGAUCCAACAUUUGCUGAACUCAAUCAUUUUUAUUUUUUUGUUGUGUUUAAAGUUACCACUCAGGAAAAAGUGUGUGAUGUAUUUGUGCUUGUGUAUAAUAACAUAAUUUAAAGAAGAUGCCGUCGACUUUUGUGGCUGAGCUGUAACCACUGUGCCACGUGCCGGACAAAGGCUGUGACCAUGACGGAUGAGCUAGAGUGUGAACUAUAGUGUCUGCUACCUUAGCAGCAUUUCAUUUACGAUAAUUGCAUAUUUCAUCAAGCUGAUGAUGAGGUGUGUAAACGGAUGAUGGAGGAGAUGCUGCUGUACUUACCCAUCUUUGGUCUUGUCGUGCUGCGGUAUGUGCUGUGGCGGUGGCAUGGAGUAGCAGGUGGCCGGACUGGGCGAAUAGCCGCCGGAGACGGGAGUCGGAUAGCCGCCGGGUCCGACGGCUGUCGCAUACGGAUUGCUGCAUUGAUAGGCCGCCGGUCCGUAGCCAUGAUAGCCGGCUGGUGGAUAAUCUGAUUGCACAACCAUCCCAUAGCCGGGAUGAGGCGAAUAACCUGUAAGCAAAGAAAAUCCCAAUUCGUAUUGCAAAGAAAAUGAGGCAAUCGUAAGAUGCUCUUACCACUGGGAUCCCGAUACGUUUCGAUGUAGUGGGAUCCGCCGCUGUCGGGCGUCGAUUCGCGACUGUAGGGGCGUGGUCCGCUUAUGUGACCCACUAGGCCGAAGCCAAGGGGACGCGGGGGUCCACUGAAGUCCACUGGCUCCAUUUGCGGUGAUCGCGGCGGUCCGUUUGGUCCAAUUGAACCGGGGGCAGCACUGCCAAAGCCCUGGCCGUGACCCACGACAAGGCCGUCGGCUCCGUACUGUGGACUCGUGAUGAUGCUGAACGAGAAAGAAAAAUACGCAAAUUGCAUGGGAAACAAUUAAAAGCUGUUCACAAAAGCGGAAAUCAAAUCAAAAAACGCGCCUCAACACAUUGCCCCAAAAGUUACUGGAAUAAUUUGAGAUGAUGCAUCACAUUAUCUCUCUUCAAACACAGAAGAAACACAAUGCGACUGAAGACCGUUUAUAAAGGACCGAGGAACAUGAUAAAAUUAGUUAUUAAUCAUUUUAAUGUUUUAUUUUAACUUUACUUUAAGUAUGUAACUAUUAAGCAUGUAGUUAUCGAUAUUAAACAACAAAACAUGUUUUUGAAUUAAAUUAAGUUGCAAAUGUCAGCGAUCAGGCAAUUGAGUCACAAGUUUAUACUUUGUAAAUUUAUCGUUUAUCGACAUCAUGUAAUCGAUAACAAAGCUGUUGGUACUUCAGAUCGGUAGACUUAGCCGUCUCCUAUUCC